GGAACCAUUGUGAUGUCAUAUACUUUCAAAG
rnacentral:piRNA from 1 species